GACGAACGCUGGCGGCGUGCCUAAUACAUGCAAGUCGAACGAGCGGCGGACGGGUGAGUAAUGCCUAGGAAUCUGCCUGGUAGUGGGGGAUAACGUCCGGAAACGGUAGCUAAUACCGCAUACCAUCAGAUGUGCCCAGAUGGGAUUAGCUUGUAGGUGAGGUAACGGCUCACCUAGGCGACGAUCCCUAGCUGGUCUGAGAGGAUGACCAGCCACACUGGAACUGAGACACGGUCCAGACUCCUACGGGAGGCAGCAGUGGGGAAUAUUGAACAAUGGGCGAAAGCCUGAUGCAGCCAUGCCGCGUGUAUGAAGAAGGCCUUCGGGUUGUAAAGUACUUUCAGCGGGGAGGCGUUACCAACAGAAUAAGCACCGGCUAACUUCGUGCCAGCCGCCGCGGUAAUAC
rnacentral:rRNA from 1 species